rnacentral:pre_miRNA from 1 species
GAUUUGGGCAAGCGGCAUGUUGGCAGUGUGGUUAGCUGGUUGUGUGGAAAAAAUUAUAUUCACGACCGCUAUCGGCACUGCAAUUAUGACGUUUGCAAAUUGACAACGAAU